UGAGGAAUAUUGGGACAAUGGAUGGAAAUCUGAUCCAGCCAUGCCGCGUGCAGGAAGACGGUCCUAUGGAUUGUAAACUGCUUUAGCAUGGGAGCAAUAAGGUGUACGCGUACACCGAUGAGAGUACCAUGAGAAUAAGCACCGGCUAACUCCGUGCCAGCAGCCGCGGUAAUACGGAGGGUGCAAGCGUUAUCCGGAUUUAUUGGGUUUAAAGGGUGCGCAGGCGGCGCGCCAAGUCAGCGGUCAAAGUUCCGGGCUCAACCCGGUGUCGCCGUUGAAACUGGCGUGCUCGAGUGCGUGCGAGGAAGGCGGAAUGCGUUGUGUAGCGGUGAAAUGCAUAGAUAUGACGCAGAACUCCGAUUGCGAAGGCAGCUUUCCAGCGCGCUACUGACGCUGAGGCACGAAAGCGUGGGGAUCGAACAGGAUUAGAUACCCUGGUAGU
rnacentral:rRNA from 1 species